UGCACAAACUUGAAAUGGUGUAGAUUAGUAUUAGGUCAGCUGAUCCUACUGAUCUAUUCUACUUCAAAUUUGUGCCG
rnacentral:pre_miRNA from 1 species